UAUUUGCUUUGUUGAAACUGUUGUGCUGUGUAGGAGGAUUGGAUUACUGGCAACAGUAUCUACUUGUGGGUGUGAAGAGUGUAUUUUGUGGAUUCUUAGUUCUUUAAUAGAGGCAUGAAGCUGGAAGUGCCAGAAAACUUUGGUGAUGUUGCUGUUGAUUUUUCACUGGAAGAGUGGAAGAUGCUGAGUGAUCAGGAGAAACAGCUGCACAGGGAAGUGAUGGUGCAGAACUAUGAGCACAUGGUGUCAGUAGGACAAAUGUGUAUUUGGAUGAAGCAUGCUGGAGUAUUUUACUAUGAUGAGCAAUGGUCGGUUUGAAUAAACAUACCACUGCUCAGUGGUGCAACAGUUAGUAUUGUCGCCUCACAGCAAGAGAUUCUCCGGUUCAGUUCUCAGCUGGGGUGCCUUCUGUGAGGAGUCUGCAUGUCCUCCCUGCAUUUUCUUGGGUUUCUUAUGAGUGCUCCGGUGUCCUCCUAUAUUCCAAAGACAUGCAUCUGGAGCUUUUCUCCCUAGGCCUCCACUGAA